GGAGAGGGGCCAGUUUUCAUGGCUGCUAGACAAUUUGGGUUCUCUGCCAGUGAGGUCUGCUGGGGUGGUGGGGGUGGUACACAUAUGUUCUGGCUGCUGGAAGCUAUUAGAGUCCAGGUGUCUGAGCCAAGUAAGCAAGCAUGGAAACACUGCUCUUGGUUUCAAGCAGAUCCUGCCAGAGGAAUAAGCAGACCAUGUUCCAGUGUCUUAGAAAAUUAAUGCGUAGUACUUGAUUUAUUGUUGUUUCUGCUGGGGGUGCAAAACCAAAUUGCACAGCUCUCUUCUGUGGAAACCUGCAGAGGGAUGUGUCAUCAAGUUUAUAACAGCUCAUCACCCCUGCCCCCCUUCUUGCAGGGAUGAGAAUAGAGAUUAACAUGUUUUACUGCCAAAUAGCUACUCUGAAAGUUACAGACUUGAAAGUUUGAUUUUAAAAAAAGGUUUCCCAAUCAA